rnacentral:rRNA from 1 species
GAUGAACGCUAGCGGCAGGCCUAAUACAUGCAAGUCGAACGGUAAGGCCCUUUCGGGGUACACGAGUGGCGGACGGGUGCGUAACGCGUAUGCAACAUACCUUCAAGCGGGGGAUAUGCCAGGGAAACUUGGUGCAACACCCCAUAGCAUUUCGGGACCGCAUGGUCUUGGGAUUAAAUAUUUAUAGCUUGGAGAUUGGCAUGCGUGACAUUAGCUAGUUGGCGGGUAACGGCCCACCAAGGCGACGAUGUCUAGCUGGUCUGAGAGGAUGAUCAGCCACACUGGGACUGAGACACGGCCCAGGCUCCUACGGGAGGCAGCAGUAGGGAAUAUUGGACAAUGGGGGGGAACCCUGAUCCAGCCUUGCCGCGUGAGGGAAGAAGGUCCUCUGGAUUGUAAACCUCUUUUGGCGGGGGACAAACCUGCACUAUACGUGCAGCUGAGGGUACCCGCAGAAUAAGCACCGGCUAACUCCGUGCCAGCAGCCGCGGUAAU